rnacentral:misc_RNA from 1 species
AAUUCUCAAAAUCCUCUCUGUUUGUGAGGCAUUUUGGACAUUGGGAGUUGCAGGUUUAUGAAGCCAGCUCUCCUCAAAUGAAUUAGCAGGGAAAUAUGGGAAUUUCUCCGUUGGUGUGAUAAACUGUUUACACCAUGAAAUGAAGUCCCUGUACAAUCUCUACUUUCUAAAGCAUUUCUGUCCUAGAGAUAGUAAUGGGCUGGUUUGGUUG